rnacentral:rRNA from 1 species
AUUCAGAAUGUAAUCAUGUUGAAUGCAUUGGUUCUUGUCUGAUCACUGAAGUUGAACAAUGUUGAGCCUAGUGAGUACUUAAAUGGGUGACCACUUGGGAAACAUAAAUGCUGUAAGCA